AAUAGAUACCCGGGUAGUCCACGCCGUAAACGAUGUCGACUUGGAGGUUGUUCCCUUGAGGAGUGGCUUCCGGAGCUAACGCGUUAAGUCGACCGCCUGGGGAGUACGGCCGCAAGGUUAAAACGUCAAAUGAAUUGACGGGGGCCCGCACAAGCGGUGGAGCAUGUGGUUUAAUUCGAUGCAACGCGAAGAACCUUACCUACUCUUGACAUCCAGAGAACUUAGCAGAGAUGCUUUGGUGCCUUCGGGAACUCUGAGACAGGUGCUGCAUGGCUGUCGUCAGCUCGUGUUGUGAAAUGUUGGGUUAAGUCCCGCAACGAGCGCAACCCUUAUCCUUUGUUGCCAGCGGUUCGGCCGGGAACUCAAAGGAGACUGCCAGUGAUAAACUGGAGGAAGGUGGGGAUGACGUCAAGGUCAUCAUGGCCCUUACGAGUAGGGCUACACACGUGCUACAAUGGCAUAUACAAAGAGAAGCGACCUGCGAGAGCAAGCGGACCUCAUAAAGUAUGUCGUAGUCCGGAUUGGAGUCUGCUAACG
rnacentral:rRNA from 1 species